UACGUAGGUGGCAAGCGUUGUCCGGAUUUACUGGGCGUAAAGGGAGCGUAGGCGGACUUUUAAGUGAGAUGUGAAAUACCCGGGCUCAACUUGGGUGCUGCAUUUCAAACUGGAAGUCUAGAGUGCAGGAGAGGAGAAUGGAAUUCCUAGUGUAGCGGUGAAAUGCGUAGAGAUUAGGAAGAACACCAGUGGCGAAGGCGAUUCUCUGGACUGUAACUGACGCUGAGGCUCGAAAGCGUGGGGAGCAAACAGGAUUAGAUACCCUGGUA
rnacentral:rRNA from 1 species